AGACAUAGGAAGAAGCUCAGUUGCUUCGGGAUGGACACCCCCCACCUUUUAUCGUGUUCCUAUUGCUCGUCGUCACUCGCAAUCGGCCUCCCACGGCGCACGCCGCUCGGCUCGACCCAAUUCGCGCGCGACCAUCGUACGAUCUCCGAUCCGCGAUCCUGAAAUUAUAGGUCUUCGGUUUCUUGCUACGACACUCGGAAUUUGACCCCGCGAUUUAUGGACGCCGCCACGGUCCUCCAGGCGGAAACGAAUGUCGGAAGGUCAUUUUCUUCACUAUCUUUGCAUCGGCUCGACGAAUCGCCGAACCGACUUCGCCAACGCGUUAGAAUACCUAGCAAUUAGGUUUAUAACUAUUCAAUU
rnacentral:lncRNA from 1 species